rnacentral:rRNA from 1 species
ACGCUGGCGGCAGGCUUAACACAUGCAAGUCGAACGGUAGCAGGAGAAAGCUUGCUUUCUUGCUGACGAGUGGCGGACGGGUGAGUAAUGCUUGGGAAUCUGGCUUAUGGAGGGGGAUAACUACGGGAAACUGUAGCUAAUACCGCGUAGAAUCGGAAGAUGAAAGUGCGGGACCGCAAGGCCGCAUGCCAUGAGAUGAGCCCAAGUGGGAUUAGGUAGUUGGUGGGGUAAAGGCCUACCAAGCCUGCGAUCUCUAGCUGGUCUGAGAGGAUGGCCAGCCACACUGGAACUGAGACACGGUCCAGACUCCUACGGGAGGCAGCAGUGGGGAAUAUUGCGCAAUGGGGGGAACCCUGACGCAGCCAUGCCGCGUGAAUGAAGAAGGCCUUCGGGUUGUAAAGUUCUUUCGGUAUUGAGGAAGGGAUGUGUGUUAAUAACAUACAUUAUUGACGUUAAAUACAGAAGAAGCACCGGCUAACUCCGUGCCAGCAGCCGCGGUAAUACGGAGGGUGCGAGCGUUAAUCGGAAUAACUGGGCGUAAAGGGCACGCAGGCGGUUAUUUAAGUGAGGUGUGAAAGCCCCGGGCUUAACCUGGGAAUUGCAUUUCAGACUGGGUAACUAGAGUACUUUAGGGAGGGGUAGAAUUCCACGUGUAGCGGUGAAAUGCGUAGAGAUGUGGAGGAAUACCGAAGGCGAAGGCAGCCCCUUGGGAAUGUACUGACGCUCAUGUGCGAAAGCGUGGGGAGCAAACAGGAUUAGAUACCCUGGUAGUCCACGCUGUAAACGCUGUCGAUUUGGGGAUUGGGCUUUAAGCUUGGUGCCCGUAGCUAACGUGAUAAAUCGACCGCCUGGGGAGUACGGCCGCAAGGUUAAAACUCAAAUGAAUUGACGGGGGCCCGCACAAGCG